CAGCGGCAGACGGGUGAGUAACACGUAGGUGAUCUACCCCAGAGACGGGGAUAACGGGUGGAAACAUCCGCUAAUACCGGAUAGACUUGUUCGGUCAAAGGGACAAGGAAAGGCUCCGGCGCUCUGGGAGGAGCCUGCGGCCCAUCAGCUAGUUGGCGGGGUAACGGCCCACCAAGGCAAAGACGGGUAGGGGGUGUGAGAGCAUGGCCCCCCACAAUGGGACUGGAACACGGCCCAUACUCCUACGGGAGGCAGCAGCAGGGAAUAUUGCACAAUGGACGGAAGUCUGAUGCAGCGACGCCGCGUGGAUGAAGAAGGCCCUCGGGUUGUAAAAUCCUUUACAGGGGGAAGAGGAAGGACGGUACCCCUGGAACAAGUGUCGGCUAACUACGUGCCAGCAGCCGCGGUAAGACGUAGGACACAAGCGUUAUCCGGAUUUACUGGGCGUAAAGCGUCUGCAGGCGGACAGGUAAGUUGGGCGUGAAAGCUCCGGGCCCAACCCGGAGAGGUCGUUCAAUACUGCGUGUCUAGAGGGUGUCAGAGGGGAGUGGAAUUUCCGGAGUAGCGGUAAAAUGCGCAGAGAUCGGAAAGAACACCAAUGGCGAAGGCAGCUCCCUGGGGCAACCCUGACGCUAAGAGACGAAAGCUAGGGGAGCGAACAGGAU
rnacentral:rRNA from 1 species